rnacentral:rRNA from 1 species
AUUGAACGCUGGCGGCAUGCUUUACACAUGCAAGUCGAACGGUAACAGGCCGCAAGGUGCUGACGAGUGGCGAACGGGUGAGUAAUGCAUCGGAACGUGCCCAGUCGUGGGGGAUAACGCAGCGAAAGCUGUGCUAAUACCGCAUACGAGCUAUGGAUGAAAGCGGGGGACCGUAAGGCCUCGCGCGAUUGGAGCGGCAGAUGUCUGAUUAGGUAGUUGGUGGGGUAAAGGCUCACCAAGCCAACGAUCUGGAGCUGGUCGGAGAGGACGACCCGGCACACUGGGACUGAGACACUGCCCAGAGACCUACGUGAGGCAGCAGUGGGGAAUUUUGGACAAAGGGCGCAAGCCUGAUCCAGCAAUGCCGCGUGCAGGAAGAAGGCGUUCGUGUUGUAAACUGCUUUUGUACGGAACGAAAAGGUUUGGGUUAAUACCCUGGGCCGAUGACGGUACCGUAAGAAUAAGCACCGGCUAACUACGUGCCAGCCGCCGCCGUAA